UACGAAGGGGGCUAGCGUUGUUCGGAAUUACUGGGCGUAAAGCGCACGUAGGCGGAUAUUUAAGUCAGGGGUGAAAUCCCAGAGCUCAACUCUGGAACUGCCUUUGAUACUGGGUAUCUUGAGUAUGGAAGAGGUAAGUGGAAUUCCGAGUGUAGAGGUGAAAUUCGUAGAUAUUAGGAGGAACACCAGUGGCGAAAGCGACUGUCUGGACCAUUAUUGACGCUGAGGCGCGAAAGCGUGGGGAGCAAACAGG
rnacentral:rRNA from 1 species